rnacentral:rRNA from 1 species
CGAUGGAUAGGGGUUCUGAGAGGAAGGUCCCCCACAUUGGAACUGAGACACGGUCCAAACUCCUACGGGAGGCAGCAGUGAGGAAUAUUGGUCAAUGGGCGCGAGCCUGAACCAGCCAAGUAGCGUGAAGGAUGAAGGCUCUAUGGGUCGUAAACUUCUUUUAUAUGGGAAUAAAGUUUUCCACGUGUGGAAUUUUGUAUGUACCAUAUGAAUAAGGAUCGGCUAACUCCGUGCCAGCAGCCGCGGUAAUACGGAGGAUCCGAGCGUUAUCCGGAUUUAUUGGGUUUAAAGGGAGCGUAGGUGGAUUGUUAAGUCAGUUGUGAAAGUUUGCGGCUCAACCGUAAAAUUGCAGUUGAAACUGGCAGUCUUGAGUACAGUAGAGGUGGGCGGAAUUCGUGGUGUAGCGGUGAAAUGCUUAGAUAUCACGAAGAACUCCGAUUGCGAAGGCAGCUCACUAGACUGUCACUGACACUGAUGCUCGAAAGUGUGGGUAUCAAACAGGAUUAGAUACCCUGGUAGUCCACACAGUAAACGAUGAAUACUCGCUGUUUGCGAUAUACAGUAAGCGGCCAAGCGAAAGCAUUAAGUAUUCCACCUGGGGAGUACGCCGGCAACGGUGAAACUCAAAGGAAUUGACGGGGGCCCGCACAAGCGGAGGAACAUGUGGUUUAAUUCGAUGAUACGCGAGGAACCUUACCCGGGCUUAAAUUGCAACAGAAUAUAUUGGAAACAGUAUAGCCGUAAGGCUGUUGUGAAGGUGCUGCAUGGUUGUCGUCAGCUCGUGCCGUGAGGUGUCGGCUUAAGUGCCAUAACGAGCGCAACCCUUAUCUUUAGUUACUAACAGGUCAUGCUGAGGACUCUAGAGAGACUGCCGUCGUAAGAUGUGAGGAAGGUGGGGAUGACGUCAAAUCAGCACGGCCCUUACGUCCGGGGCUACACACGUGUUACAAUGGGGGGUACAGAAGGCAGCUACCUGGUGACAGGAUGCUAAUCCCAAAAACCUCUCUCAGUUCGGAUCGAAGUCUGCAACCCGACUUCGUGAAGCUGGAUUCGCUAGUAAUCGCGCAUCAGCC